rnacentral:miRNA from 1 species
GACUGUACAACCCGUUACCUUU